AAUGAACGCUGGCGGCAGGCCUAACACAUGCAAGUCGAGCGGAUCCUUCGGGAUUAGUGGCGGACGGGUGAGUAACGCGUGGGAACAUACCCAAAGGUACGGAAUAGCCUCGGGAAACUGGGAGUAAUACCGUAUGUGCUCGAAAGAGGAAAGGUUUAUCGCAUUUGGAUGGGCCUGGGUUGGAUUAGGCAGAUGGUGGGGUAAUGGCCUACCAAGCGGACGAUCCAUAGCGGGUGAGAGAGGAGGAGCAGCCACACUGGGGCUGGGAGACGGGGCAGAAUUCGACGGGGGUCGGGGGUGUGGAAUCUUCGAGAGUGGGGGAAGCACGAACCUAGCCAAGCAGCGUGAUCGAUGAAGGCGGUAGAGUUGUAAGGAUUUUUCAAGUGUGAAGAUAGUAACUGUACCGCCAGAAGAGGACUCGACAACCUCGUUGCCAGCGUCCUCGGAA
rnacentral:rRNA from 1 species